UGGUUCUGGCAUNGAUGAAGAACGCAGCGAAAUGCGAUAAGUAAUGUGAAUUGCAGAAUUCAGUGAAUCAUCGAAUCUUUGAACGCACAUUGCGCCCUUUGGUAUUCCGAAGGGCAUGCCCGUUCGAGCGUCAUUUCAACCAAACAAGCCUGGCUUGGCCUUGGGUCCCGGGGCGACCCGGACCUCAAAGACUCCCGGCUCGAACCGCCCCUUCCUGGCGUUGUGAACUUCGUUCGCCGGUGGAAGGAAGGUGAGACGCCGUCAAACGUUUCUAAAGGUUGACCUCGGAUCGGGUAGGGAUACCCGCUGA
rnacentral:misc_RNA from 1 species